UAGGGAAUAUUGGACAAUGGGUGAGAGCCUGAUCCAGCAAUGCCGCGUGAGUGAAGAAGGCCUUCGGGUUGUAAAGCUCUUUUGUCAGGGAAGAAACGGUGGGAGCUAAUAUCUCCUACUAAUGACGGUACCUGAAGAAUAAGCACCGGCUAACUACGUGCCAGCAGCCGCGCUAAUACGUAGGGUGCAAGCGUUAAUCGGAAUUACUGGGCGUAAAGCGUGCGCAGGCGGUUUUGUAAGUCUGUCGUGAAAGCCCCGGGCUCAACCUGGGAAUUGCGAUGGAGACUGCAAGGCUUGAAUCUGGCAGAGGGGGGUAGAAUUCCACGUGUAGCAGUGAAAUGCGUAGAGAUGUGGAGGAACACCGAUGGCGAAGGCAGCCCCCUGGGUCAAGAUUGACGCUCAUGCACGAAAGCGUGGGGAGCAAACAGGAUUAGAUACCCUAGUAGUCCCUGAGCGGGCUGGCAAGGCGCAU
rnacentral:rRNA from 1 species